GACGAACGCUGGCGGCGUGCUUAACACAUGCAAGUCGAACGGUAAGGCCCUUCGGGGUACACGAGUGGCGAACGGGCGAGUAACACGUGGGUGAUCUGCCCUGCACUUCGGGAUAAGCCUGGGAAACUGGGUCUAAUACCGGAUAGGACCACUGCCUGCAUGGGUGGUGUGGAAAGCUUUUGCGGUGUGGGAUGGGCCCGCGGCCUAUCAGCUUGUUGGUAGGGUGAUGGCCUACCAAGGCGACGACGGGUAGCCGGCCUGAGAGGGUGACCGGCCACACUGGGACUGAGAUACGGCCCAGACUCCUACGGGAGGCAGCAGUGGGGAAUAUUGCACAAUGGGCGCAAGCCUGAUGCAGCGACGCCGCGUGAGGGAUGACGGCCUUCGGGUUGUAAACCUCUUUCAGCACCGACGAAGCGCAAGUGACGGUAGGUGCAGAAGAAGGACCGGCCAACUACGUGCCAGCCGCCGCCGUAA
rnacentral:rRNA from 1 species